UACAUGUGGGGCAAGCGUUGUUCGGAAUUACUGGGCCUAAAGGGUGCGUAGGCGGUUUGUUAAGUCACUGGUGAAAGUUUUCGGCCCAACCGGAAAAUUGCCUGUGAUACUGGCGAACUUGAGUGCGUGAGGGGUGGGGGGAACGAGCAGUGUAGCGGUGAAAUGCGUAGAUAUCUGGAGGAACACCGGUGGCGAAGGCGGCAUCCUGGACCGGCAUUGACGCUGAGGCGCGAAAGCCAGGGGAGCAAACGGG
rnacentral:rRNA from 1 species